GAUGAAGAACGUAGCGAAAUGCGAUAAGUAAUGUGAAUUGCAGAAUUCAGUGAAUCAUCGAAUCUUUGAACGCACCUUGCACCCUUUGGUAUUCCGAAGGGUAUGCUCGUUUGAGUGUCAUUGUACUCUCACACUUCUAAUUCCUUUCGGGAUUAGGAGCGGUGGACUUGGGUGUUGCUGCUUUAGUUGUGGCUCACCUCAAAUAAGUUAGUGCAACUCUUGGUUGGACAUAGUACGGCGUGAUAAGUGUCUUCGCCGGCGCCUCUGUAAGGAGGGUGGCCGAUCGGGAGCUCUGUGCUUCAAACCGUCUUCGGACAAUCUUUGACAACUUGACCUCAAAUCGAGUAGGACUACCCGCUGAACUUAAGCAUAUCAAUAAGCGGAGGA
rnacentral:misc_RNA from 1 species